UACGAAGGGUGCAAGCGUUACUCGGAAUUACUGGGCGUAAAGCGUGCGUAGGCGGUUUGUUAAGUCCGCUGUGAAAUCCCCGGGCUCAACCUGGGAACUGCGUUUGUGACUGUAUGACUAGAGUACGGUAGAGAGGGGUGGAAUUCCUGGUGUAGCAGUGAAAUGCGUAGAUAUCAGGAGGAACAUCGAUGGCGAAGGCAGCCCCUUGAACCUGUACUGACGCUCA
rnacentral:rRNA from 1 species